rnacentral:rRNA from 1 species
UGGGGAAUAUUGGACAAUGGGCGCAAGCCUGAUCCAGCCAUGCCGCGUGUGUGAAGAAGGCCUUUUGGUUGUAAAGCACUUUAAGCGAGGAGGAGGCUACUUGGAUUAAUACUCUAGGAUAGUGGACGUUACUCGCAGAAUAAGCACCGGCUAACUCUGUGCCAGCAGCCGCGGUAAUACAGAGGGUGCGAGCGUUAAUCGGAUUUACUGGGCGUAAAGCGUGCGUAGGCGGCUUUUUAAGUCGGAUGUGAAAUCCCUGAGCUUAACUUAGGAAUUGAAUUGGAUACUGGGAAGCUAGAGUAUGGGAGAGGAUGGUAGAAUUCCAGGUGUAGCGGUGAAAUGCGUAGAGAUCUGGAGGAAUACCGAUGGCAAAGGCAGCCAUCUGGCCUAAUACUGACGCUGAGGUACGAAAGCAUGGGGAGCAAACAGG